rnacentral:lncRNA from 1 species
UACUGGGUGACUUCCUCUCUGGCCUCUUGUGACAAGUCUUCUCUUUGUUCCUCCAGCCUUGGUGGCAGCAAUUUCCUGUGACUGUACAUUUCCGACUACUUCACUGGCUCCAACUUGGCCCAAAGGAAACGGCUUAGUGUUAUUCGACGCGUUCUCACGACCGGCCAGGAAGAACACAACAACCAGAAUCUUCUACGGCAAAGCUUUAUUACUUACAUCUUAUGGGGCCAGAGUGUAAGAAGCAAGAGAGAGCGAAGCAAGAGAGAGCGAGAAAACGAAACCCCUUUCCUCUUUAAAGAGAACAACAAUUGCCUAGGACGCAUC